rnacentral:rRNA from 1 species
UGGGGAAUAUUGGACAAUGGGGGCAACCCUGAUCCAGCAAUGCCGCGUGUGUGAAGAAGGUUUUCGGAUUGUAAAGCACUUUCGACGGGGACGAUGAUGACGGUACCCGUAGAAGAAGCCCCGGCUAACUUCGUGCCAGCAGCCGCGGUAAUACGAAGGGGGCUAGCGUUGCUCGGAAUGACUGGGCGUAAAGGGCGUGUAGGCGGUUUGUACAGUCAGAUGUGAAAUCCCCG